rnacentral:rRNA from 1 species
GAUGAACGCUGGCGGCGUGCCUAAUACAUGCAAGUCGAGCGAACAGACGAGGAGCUUGCUCCUCUGACGUUAGCGGCGGACGGGUGAGUAACACGUGGAUAACCUACCUAUAAGACUGGGAUAACUUCGGGAAACCGGAGCUAAUACCGGAUAAUAUAUUGAACCGCAUGGUUCAAUAGUGAAAGACGGUUUUGCUGUCACUUAUAGAUGGAUCCGCGCUGCAUUAGCUAGUUGGUAAGGUAACGGCUUACCAAGGCAACGAUGCGUAGCCGACCUGAGAGGGUGAUCGGCCACACUGGAACUGAGACACGGUCCAGACUCCUACGGGAGGCAGCAGCAGGGAAUCUUCCGCAAUGGGCGAAAGCCUGACGGAGCAACGCCGCGUGAGUGAUGAAGGUCUUCGGAUCGUAAAACUCUGUUAUUAGGGAAGAACAAAUGUGUAAGUAACUAUGCACGUCUUGACGGUACCUAAUCAGAAAGCCACGGCUAACUACGUG